rnacentral:rRNA from 1 species
UACGUAGGAUGCAAGCGUUGUCCGGAUUUACUGGGCGUAAAGGGCGCGCAGGCGGUAUAGCAAGUCUAUCGUGAAAGCCCCCGGCUAAACCGGGGAGGGUCGGUAGAUACUGCUAAACUAGAGUGCAGCAGAGGAUAGUGGAAUUCCCGGUGUAGUGGUGAAAUGCGUAGAUAUCGGGAGGAACACCAGUGGCGAAGGCGGUUCUCUGGGAAUGUACUGACGCUGAGGAGCGAAAGUGUGGGGAGCGAACAGG